rnacentral:tRNA from 1 species
AUUCUUUUAGUAUAAAAAAGUAUAAUUAGCUUCCAACUAAAAGGUUAAAAAACAUUAAAAGAAUAAU